GAUAAACGCUGGCGGCGUGCAUGAGACAUGCAAGUCGAACGAAGGAUCGGGCUUGCUCGAUCCUUAGUGGCGGACGGCUGAGUAACGCGUAGGUGACCUACCCCGAAGUGGGGAAUAACUGCCCGAAAGGGUGGCUAAUACCGCAUGUGGUCGCACGUUCAUUCGUGCGAGUAAAGCCGCAAGGCGCUUCGGGAGGGGCCUGCGUCCGAUUGGCUCGUUGGUUGGGUAAUGGCUUACCAAGGCGACGAUCGGUAGGUGGUCUGAGAGGACGAUCACCCAGGAUUGAGCUGAGGCACGGCCCAGUCUCCUACGGGAGGCAGCAGGAGGGAAUUUUGCGCAAUGGGGGAAACCCUGAAGCAGCAGCGCCGCGUGAGGGAUGAAGGCCUUCGGGUUGUAAACCUCUUUUGUCAGGGACGAUGAUGACGGUACCUGGCGAAUAAGCCACGGCUAACUACGUG
rnacentral:rRNA from 1 species